CCUGGUGGCUCAGAUGGUAAAGCGUCUGCCUACGACACAGGAGACCCGGGUUCGAUCCCUGGGUCAGGA
rnacentral:tRNA from 1 species